UUAGAGUUUGAUCCUGGCUCAGGAUGAUCGCUAGCGACAGGCUUAACACAUGCAAGUCGAGGGGCAGCGGGGAUGAAGCUUGCUUCAUCCGCCGGCGACCGGCGCACGGGUGAGUAACACGUAUGCAACCUGCCCCUGGCUGGGGGAUAAGCCGGAGAAAUCCGGUCUAAUACCGCGUAACAUCCUUGCGGGACAUCCCGUUAGGAUCAAAGGAAGCGAUUCCGGCCAGGGAUGGGCAUGCGGCGCAUUAACUAGUCGGCGGGGUAACGGCCCACCGAGGCGACCAUGCGUAGGGGUUCUGAGAGGAAGGCCCCCCACACUGGUACUGAGACACAGACCAGACUCCUACGGGAGGCAGCAGUGACGAAUAAUUUGUUCAAUGGGCGCGAGCCUGAUCCACGCCAAGUCGCGUGAGGGAACACGGUCCUAUGGAUUGUAAACCUCUUUUGCCGGGGAGCCAGCGUGUGCCACGUGUGGCGCAGCUGAUACUACCCGGAGAAAAAGCAUCGGCUAACUCCGUGCCAUCCGCCGCGGUAAUACGGAGGAUGCGAGCGUUAUCCGGAUUUAUUGG
rnacentral:rRNA from 1 species